rnacentral:rRNA from 1 species
AGUGAACGCUGGCGGCAUGGCUAAGACAUGCAAGUCGAACGAGAAUUACUGAAGGGUAACCGGAUGUAAGGAAAGUGGCGAACGGGUGCGUAACACGUGAACAAUCUACCCUAAAGUUGGGGAUAGCUCGGGGAAACUCGAAUUAAUACCGAAUGUGGUUCUUCCUCGCAUGUGGAAGAUACUAAAGCUUGUAAUGGCGCUUUAGGAGGGGUUCGCGGCCUAUCAGCUUGUUGGUGAGGUAACGGCUCACCAAGGCUAAGACGGGUAGCUGGUCUGAGAGGAUGAUCAGCCACACUGGAACUGAGACACGGUCCAGACACCUACGGGGUGGGCAGCAGUUUCGAAUCAUUCACAAUGGGCGAAAGCCUGAUGGUGCAAUGCCGCGUGGGGGAUGAAGGUCUUCGGAUCGUAAACCCCUGUCACCAAGGACUAAAAAACGGUGAAGAGCCGUCUUGAAUUAACUUGGAGAGGAAGCAGUGGCUAACUCCGUGCCAGCCGCCGCGGUAAU